CCCUUCCCAGUCCUCACUGUUUGGAGGUAGCAAAUAGGAAGUUUCAUUUGAAUCACAUGGAAUAGCCAUGGGGUGGCUUACCUCAGGAGAGUCGCUUCAGUCCAAAUUUGCGUUCCCUCAGCUCUGCUGGUCCAGAAACUUCACAUUAAUAAAACAGAAAGGAAACAUGACAAACAUACAAAAUGACAUAUCAUAAGUUAAGUUGAGUUUAAUGGGUAUAGAGUUUCAGUUUUGCAAAAUGAAAAAGUUCUAGAGAUUGGUUGAACAACAAUGUGAAUAGACUUAACACCACUAAACUGCACACUUAGAAAUAGUUAAGAUGAUGAAUUAUAUGAGUUUUUUACCACAAUAAA